GAUGAACGCUGGCGGCGUGCUUAACACAUGCAAGUCGAACGAUGAAGGCUAGAGCUUGCUCUAGUUGGAUUAGUGGCGAACGGGUGAGUAUCACGUGAGUAACCUGCCCUUGACUCUGGGAUAAGCCUGGGAAACUGGGUCUAAUACCGGAUACGACUACCAACCGCAUGGUUUGGUGGUGGAAAGUUUUUAACGGUUUUGGAUGGACUCGCGGCCUAUCAGCUUGACGGUGGGGUAAUGGCCUACCGUGGCUUUGACGGGUAGCCGGCCUGAGAGGGUGACCGGCAACACUGGGACUGAGACACGGCCCAGACUCCUACGGGAGGCAGCAGUGGGGAAUAUUGCACAAUGGGCGCAAGCCUGAUGCAGCGACGCCGCGUGCGGGAUGACGGCUUUCGGGUUGUAAACCGCUUUCAGCAAGGAAGAAGCUUUUUUGUGACGGUACUUGCAGAAGAAGCGCCGGCUAACUACGUGCCAGCAGCCGCCGUAA
rnacentral:rRNA from 1 species